CGGACAAAUACUUGCUUGAGUUACACUUCUGCCGUACCACAGAAUAGGAAGGUAUAGCAGAAGCGUAACUCAAGCAAGUAUUUGUCCG
rnacentral:miRNA from 1 species